AGAGUUUGAUCAUGGCUCAGGAUGAACGCUAGCUACAGGCUUAACACAUGCAAGUCGAGGGGCAGCAUGAUUGAAGCUUGCUUCAACUGAUGGCGACCGGCGCACGGGUGAGUAACGCGUAUCCAACCUUCCGUACACUCAGGGAUAGCCUUUCGAAAGAAGAUUAAUACCUGAUGGUAUGAUGAGAUUGCAUGAUAGCAUCAUUAAAGAUUUAUCGGUGUACGAUGGGGAUGCGCUCCAUUAGGUAGUAGGCGGGGUAAUGGCCCACUAGCCGACGAUGGAUAGGGGUUCUGAGAGGAAGGUCCCCCANAUUGGAACUGAGACACGGUCCAAACUCACGGGAGCA
rnacentral:rRNA from 1 species